GUGACAUACUGGGAUGUGUUCUAGACUCAGUAGAGGAGUUUCUGUCCUCAGAGCAUGUAGUCAUGGAGGAAAGAGCAAAAAUACUACAAAAAAUGUUCUUUUUGGAGAAAACAAGAUCAAGAUAAAGCAAGCAGUCUGGGGGGUUGGUGGUGAUCAUAAACCUGAUGGGAUCCAGUUGUCACUUUUUCCUAAAGGCUGCUCUGUGUUUCUAUGGUGUUUGGAAUUAUGAAGAAAAACUUGUGGAAGCUUCAUUUUAUGAGAAUGGAAACUUGACAAGCUCAGUAAACAACUGAUGGCUUGUUUCAGGAAAUUAGACAGAAUGGUGAAGUCCUGUGUUUGUAUCUUUAUUUCCAAAAUCCUGUUGCCUUAGGAUGUGUUAAAUUGCUAAUUGAGAUGCCUCCAUAACCCUGGAGCAGUGCUGUCCCCCAGGCUGUCGAGAGGAAGGGGCCCAGUGACAGAAUCAGCCUGAAUAUGUAUAAAGAUGACACACAAAGAAAGAUGAAUGCUGCCUUUCAAACCUGGAAACAGGAUUUUCAUCUGCCAGCAUACCAGAACAUGAGGAGCUUAAUACCACGGUGCAGGACAUGAGAAACAAAGAUUAUAUCGAUUUAAAACUUCAUCUAGAGAGAAAAGCUCCACACAGCUGUCCAGGUUGGAGGCCAAUGGAGCUUUGCCAAAAACAAACCAAAACAAAAA